rnacentral:lncRNA from 1 species
ACACCACAGGCUUCAUUCUUGGGUAUCAGCAGCUACGCGGAUGUAAAAUGUCUCCAGGACAAGAUCAGUAAAAGUGUGUUUGCACCGCUGACUGGAUUCUGGACUGAGAGCAAUAGAAAAGCUCUAAUAAGAUGGGUCAGAUGUCUUCUUAUGGGCUGCUUUUCCCAGCUCUCUUUCAUGUCUGUCUGCUUCAAGAAUUCAUAGGCCUCCAGCCCUCUGUUGACAUUAUGGAAGACAGUCGUCCCAGGACUCUUGUGCAACAGUUUGGAGUUCGAGUGCUGAGUCCCCCUUUCUCAGUGCAGAUCAUUUCCGUGACACCGCAGAAUGUCUUUGAGGUGCCCAUUGUCAAUCCAACACUUGACCUUGAAGUAUUCAGUGUUGAGAUCAGACUCAAUGCUUCGUUGGACUUUGAGAGAGUCCGCAUGUACACUGUGUACCUAAGGGUGGACUCUGCCAAUGGUACUGUACAGCAGAGCUUCAAUGUGCAUGUUACAGAUGUCAAUGAGCCACCAGUGUGUGACCAUUUCUUUCAGUUCCCAGGUGCAGAAGUCCAGAUCCCUGAGAGUCUAUCUGUCCCUGUGAGGGUUUACAAUGUCUUGGCAUCCGACCCUGAUGAGAAGGACAUGCUCACUGUAAGCAGAGGACUUGGAGUGGACAUUGGUGUCAUUUGCUUUUUCCGUUCAAUUAGAGGGAAAA